rnacentral:rRNA from 1 species
AGUGGGGAAUAUUGCACAAUGGGGGAAACCCUGAUGCAGCGACGCCGCGUGAAGGAAGAAGGUCUUCGGAUUGUAAACUUCUUUGAUUGGGGACGAAAUAUGACGGUACCCAAGGAACAAGCCACGGCUAACUACGUGCCAGCAGCCGCGGUAAUACGUAGGUGGCAAGCGUUGUCCGGAAUUACUGGGUGUAAAGGGCGUGUAGGCGGGAGUGUAAGUCAGAUGUGAAAACCCGGAGCUCAACUUCGGGAUUGCAUCUGAAACUAUGCUUCUUGAGUGCUGGAGAGGAAAGCGGAAUUCCUAGUGUAGCGGUGAAAUGCGUAGAUAUUAGGAGGAACACCAGUGGCGAAGGCGGCUUUCUGGACAGUAACUGACGCUGAGGCGCGAAAGCGUGGGGAGCGAACAGGAUUAGAUACCCUGGUAGUCCACGCUGUAAACGAUGGAUACUAGGUGUAGGAGGUAUCGACCCCUUCUGUGCCGGAGUUAACACAAUAAGUAUCCCACCUGGGGAGUACGGCCGCAAGGUUGAAACUCAAAGGAAUUGACGGGGGCCCGCACAAGCAGUGGAGUAUGUGGUUUAAUUCGAUGCAACGCGAAGAACCUUACCAGGGCUUGACAUCCCUUGACGUUCUAAGAAAUUAGGAUUCCCUUCGGGGCAAGGAGACAGGUGGUGCAUGGUUGUCGUCAGCUCGUGUCGUGAGAUGUUGGGUUAAGUCCCGCAACGAGCGCAACCCUUGUUGUUAGUUGCCAGCAUUCAGUUGGGCACUCUAACAAGACUGCCGGUGACAAAUCGGAGGAAGGUGGGGACGACGUCAAAUCAUCAUGCCCCUUAUGUCCUGGGCUACACACGUACUACAAUGGCUAUUACAAUGGGAAGCAAAACCGCGAGGUAGAGCAAAUCCUGUAAAGAUAGUCCCAGUUCGGAUUGCAGGCUGAAACUCGCCUGCAUGAAGUCGGAAUUGCUAGUAAUGGCAGGUCAGCAUACUGCCGUGAAUACGUUCCCGGGCCUUGUACACACCGCCCGUCACACCAUGAGAGUUUGCAACACCCGAAGUCAGUAGCAUAACCGCAAGGAGUGCGCUGCCGAAGGUGGGGCAGAUGAUUGGGGUG